UACGGGGGGGGCAAGCGUUGUUCGGAAUUACUGGGCGGAAAGGGCUCGUAGGUGGCCAACUAAGUCAGACGUGAAAUCCCUCGGCUUAACCGGGGAACUGCGUCUGAUACUGGAUGGCUUGAGUUCGGGAGAGGGAUGCGGAAUUCCAGGUGUAGCGGUGAAAUGCGUAGAUAUCUGGAGGAACACCGGUGGCGAAGGCGGCAUCCUGGACCAACACUGACGCUGAGGGAGCGAAAGCCAGGGGAGCAAACGGG
rnacentral:rRNA from 1 species